GCGCUUGCGCGCGAGCCGGGUGGAGAGGAAAGCGGGGUGAGGAAGACGUGCGGAGGCUGAAGACGCCGCAGGUCGCCCCCCACCCCCCCCAGCACGACCACCGUGAACACCUGGGCAUGCGCGCACGGAGGAACACGGGGCAACACCGCUCGGAGCUGGGAUUUUGACAUCAUCUCUCUGCUGGAGCUUGGAGCUCGGAGCUCGGAGCUUACCCCAUCACCUGCACCAAGACCGAGCCAACGGGACCUCGCUGGAUUCGUGGUGGUGAAGUUUCUAGGCCCAGACGACACAUGCGCUUUAGGAGAAGGGGGCAUGGAAGGUGAUUUUCCCGCUGCGCAUACUGACCCCAACUCUGGCAGACCAGGGCAACAGACCACGUGGACUGCCAGGGCUACAGCAAUGUCGAGCCACGGGGUGGUGUAAGAGACUGCGUUGGACCGUGUUUGUCUCGACACUGCUCUGCACCGCGACCAUUUCCUGGCCUCAACAUCCUGUUGCGGUGGAGGAG
rnacentral:lncRNA from 1 species